CGGACGGGUGAGUAACGCGUGAGAAUCUGCCCUCAGGAGGGGGAUAACAGUUGGAAACGACUGCUAAUACCCCAUAUGCCGAAAGGUGAAACGAAUUUCGCCUGGGGAUGAGCUCGCGUCUGAUUAGCUUGUUGGUGGGGUAAAGGCCUACCAAGGCUUCGAUCAGUAGCUGGUCUGAGAGGACGAUCAGCCACACUGGGACUGAGACACGGCCCAGACUCCUACGGGAGGCAGUAGUGGGGAAUUUUCCGCAAUGGGCGAAAGCCUGACGGAGCAACGCCGCGUGAGGGAUGAAGGCCUUUGGGCUGUAAACCUCUUUUCUCAAGGAAGAAGAUCUGACGGUACUUGAGGAAUAAGCCACGGCUAAUUCCGUGCCAGCAGCCGCGGUAAUACGGGAGUGGCAAGCGUUAUCCGGAAUUAUUGGGCGUAAAGCGUCCGCAGGCGGCCGUCUAAGUCUGUUGUUAAAUCGUGGAGCUUAACUCCAUCACGGCAAUGGAAACUGUUCGGCUUGAGUGUGGUAGGGGCAGAGGGAAUUUCCGGUGUAGCGGUGAAAUGCGUAGAUAUCGGGAAGAACACCAGUGGCGAAAGCGCUCUGCUAGGCCAUUACUGACGCUCAUGGACGAAAGCCAGGGGAGCGAAAGGGAUUAGAUACCCCUGUAGUC
rnacentral:rRNA from 1 species